rnacentral:rRNA from 1 species
GUGCACCAGGCGCGAAACUUCACACUGUGCGAAAGCACGAUGAGGGAAUCCCAAGUGCUUGCACGUAAGUGUAAGCUGUUUCUCUGUUUAAAACGCAGAGAGAGUAAGGGCUGGGUAAGACGGGUGCCAGCCGCCGCGGUAAUACCUGCAGCUCAAGUGGUGACCGUUAUUAUUGGGCCUAAAACGUCCGUGGCCGGUUUAAUAAAUGCCUGGGUAAAUCGUGUAGCUUAACUAUACGAAUUCCGGGUAGACUGUUAAACUCGGGACCGGGAGAAGUUAGAGGUACUCCUGGGGUAGAGGUGAAAUUCUGUAAUCCUAGGGGGACCACCAGUGGCGAAGGCGUCUAACUAGAACGGGUCUGACGGUGAGGGACGAAGCCCUGGGGCGCAAAACGGGGAUUAGAUACCCGUGUAGU